UACUAGCUCGUGUUUACAAGAUUAUUGUUGACUUUUGCUUCUUCUAUUUAACACAUCAAAACAGUUAAAUUGUAUCCAAAGGAGAACAAUAGAAGUUAAUAUUUUUUAUUUUUAUUUUUUAUCUUUCUUUCUUUAUUUUAUUGAUUCAAAAUGUGAAAAUGACUGAAAGCUGAUUAUAUUCUAAACAUAAUCUUUGCUUUUAGAGGAGCCAGACUUAUUUGAGAUGUUUAGAUGGACUUAUUUAAUGUAAACUGAUAAUGUUCAGUAUAAGUUAAGGUGGGUCUAAACACUAAACUUUGGGAGGGGAUACAAGAGGUAGGUAUACAACUUAACCCAUUCAAACUAGUUACAGAUUGAGAACCUGAACUUCCUUUUUUCCACUGAUCGUUGAAAUCAUGGUAGCUUGAAUGGGAUUAUCACGGGUUAUAAAUCUCUUCUAUAUGUUUUGACUUUCUCCAUGUUUAGCAUUCAGUCAUGAGAAGUGUUCAACAUAUUUCUUUUCAUGCACUGAAUUCAUCUGUUCAUACUAACGUACGGCUUAAUUUUGAUAUUGGCAGAACAUGUCAUAGGAGUUAUGAUAGCCUUUAGAAGAUUGGAUUAGACUCGGGCAAGAUAGAUUUGCAAAGCUAACAAGGUGAAAACCUCAUAUGAAUAAGUUUGACAAGUUCUUAGUUUAGUUUUAUUUUUCUUUUAAUGAAUUAUUACUUAAAUUUCUCGGAUCAUUUAGUUGACUUAGCAGACUUGAUUCAAUUUAACUAAAUAGACCUAAAUUUGUAAAAUAUUAUGCUAUUUGCUAUGGAGUUAAACAAUUCAAAGAUCUUAUGCGGCACUUAGCAUCUUUAUUUGAAAGGUGCCGGUGGAAAUGACAAGGCCACUUUAUUCAUCUUGCCGUGCACAAAGCAAUGAAUAAAAUGUUAUAUCCAGGUCCUGAAUUCAAGACAUAUCUUUCUUAAGUGAAAGGUGUCAGCAUAUAGCAAGUUGUGAAAUUAAGUUUAAAAAAACAAAAGGCAAUGAGAUUGGAUUACAACGAAUUGAAGAAUAUGCAUUAGAUUAUUCUAAGAAUGUCAUGGGUUUUGUCCUCUUGCACCUUCUUUUAGUACAUGCUGUUAGGAAUUUGUUGGCACAAUUCCAUAACAAGGGAUCAAAACACACAUACACACAUGCUAAUAUAAGAGAUUUUAAGAGUCUGGACCAACAAUGUCCUACUCCCUCUUCUUUCCACUAAAACUUGAACUAUUAAAACUCUAGUAUUUUGAUAGAGAAAGACUGAAAAAGUCUCUUAACUUUAGUUUUGUAAUAUUUUGCAAAUAACCCAACACUUGGUUAUUAAUAUUACUGUUUUGGGUUCCCCUAUAUCCCUUUAGGGGACCCUAAACACUUGGCUUUGAGGGCUGGGCAUAGGGGUCCCAGUCUUGAACCCAUUAACUGUCGGUGGACUGUUCGAGUUGCACCUGUGGGAAGAGUGGGUCGUCAUGUGUUAGCCAAGGGAUGGAUUGGGAAGGACUGCCUCGGCAGUCUUCCUCGGGCGUCGAAUAGUUGACUCAAAAUUGGUAUGGACAAGGGGAAUCUGACUGUUUAAUUAAAACAAAGCAUUGCGAUGGUCCUUACGGAUGCUCACACAAUGUGAUUUUUGCCCAAUGCUCUAAAUGUCAAAGUGAAAAAAUUCAACCAAGCAUGGGUAAACGGUGGGAGUAACUAUGACUCUUUUAAGAUAGCCAAAUGCGUCAUUAUCUAAUUAGUGGCAUGCAUAUAUGGAUUAACAAGAUUCCCAUUGUCCCUGUCUAUUAUCUAGCGAAACCAUAGCUAAGGGAACGGGCUUGGCAGAAUCAGCAGGAAAAAAAGACCAUAUUGAGCUUGACUCUAGUCCAACUUUGUGAAAUGACUUGAGAGGUGUAAGAUAAGUGGGAGUAGAAAGGUGAAAGUGAAAUACCACUACUUUUAACAUUAUUUUACUUAUUCCGAGAAUUGGAGGAAGGGCAUCGCCCUUUUUUUUGGACCUAAGGUCCUCCUUGGCAAGUCGAUCUAGGCGGAAGACAUUGUCAGGUAGGGAGUUUGGCUGGGGUGGCACAUCUAUUAAAAGAUAACAUGUGUCCUAAGAUGAGCUCAAUAAGAACAUAAAUCUCGUGUGGAACAAAAGAGUAAAAGCUCGUUCAAUUUUGAUUUCCAUUAUGAAUAUGAACUAUGAAAGCGUGGCCUAUCGAUCCUUUAGACCUUCAGAAUUUGACGCUAAAGGUGUCAGAAAAGUUACCACAGUAUAAUUGGCUUGUGGCAGCUAAGCAUUCAUAGCGACGUUACUUUUUAAUCCUUCAAUGUUGGCUUUUCCUAUCAUUAUGAAGCAGAAUUCACUAAGUGUUGGAUUUUUCACCCACCAAUAGGGAAUGUGAACUAGGUUUAGACUGUCAUGAGAUAGGUUAGUUUUACCUUACUAAUGAUAGUGUUGCAAUAGUAAUUUAACCUAGUAUGAAAGGAAUAGUUGAUUCGCACAAUUGGUCAUCGCGCUUGGUUGAAAAGCCAAUGGCGCGAAGCUACCAUGUGCUGGAUUAUGACUAAACACUUGUAAGUCAAAAUCUGGGCUAGAAGUGACGCAUGCACCUGUCUCCCAUUUGCCGACCUGUAGUAGGGGCCGGAUGGCCCCUAGAGGCACAUGUCAUGGGUGCAGCAUGCAUGGCAAAUGAGCUGCACUGGUCGCCCUAUUGUACGAUUU
rnacentral:rRNA from 1 species